UGGGGAAUUUUGCGCAAUGGGCUAACGCCUGACGCAGCAACGCCGCGUGGAGGAUGAAGGUCUUUGGAUUGUAAACUCCUGUCAGCAGGGAAAAAGGGACUGGGCCUCAUACGUCCGGAACUUGAUUGUACCUGCAGAGGAAGCCCCGGCUAACUCUGUGCCAGCAGCCGCGGUAAUACAGAGGGGGCAAGCGUUAUUCGGAAUUAUUGGGCGUAAAGGGCGCGUAGGCGGCUUUGCAAGUGGCGGGUGAAAUCCCUCGGCUUAACCGAGGAACUGCCUGCCAGACUGCAUUGCUUGAGUCCGGGAGAGGUGAGUGGAAUUCCCAGUGUAGCGGUGAAAUGCGUAGAUAUUGGGAGGAACACCAGUGGCGAAGGCGGCUCACUGGACCGGAACUGACGCUGAGGCGCGAAAGCGUGGGGAGCAAA
rnacentral:rRNA from 1 species